rnacentral:rRNA from 1 species
UACGUAGGGGGCAAGCGUUGUCCGGAAUCAUUGGGCGUAAAGAGCGUGUAGGCGGUUCGGUAAGUCGGCUGUGAAAGUCCAGGGCUCAACCCUGGGAUGCCGGUCGAUACUGCCGGACUAGAGUUCGGAAGAGGCGAGUGGAAUUCCCGGUGUAGCGGUGAAAUGCGCAGAUAUCGGGAGGAACACCUAUGGCGAAGGCAGCUCGCUGGGACGUUACUGACGCUGGAGACGCGAAAGCGUGGGGAG